rnacentral:lncRNA from 1 species
GCCUGAGGCACAUAGGUGGAGCACACAGCCUAGGCCAGAGAAACCCGUCUCAAAGAAAGCUGCAGGAACUUACAAGAUGACAGAAGGCAGGAGAAUAGAAUUCUAACAGGAUAUGGGAUAAAUCUAUCACCUUUACUCCAUGUCACUGCUGAAGAAUGUUUUUUGCUGGAUUCCCUAGGAAACAGAAGAGCAUGAAUGCUACAGCUUUAUUAGAGGGUGGGAGUUAAGGAUUGGGACUGCAAUCUCAAGACAGAGUAAGUGACGAAAAAAGGAAAGGGAAACAAGGAAGGAUUGCGAGCAAAUAAAGUUGGAGCAAUUUUGAGCAAGUCAGAACUUCAAAAGAAAAGCCAUGUCAGGCCGGGCAGGGUGGCUCAUCCCUGUAAUCUCAGCACUUUGGGAGG